rnacentral:rRNA from 1 species
UUAAGCAUAUCAAUAAGCGGAGGAAAAGAAACCAACAGGGAUUGCCCUAGUAACGGCGAGUGAAGCGGCAACAGCUCAAAUUUGAAAUCUGGCUUCGGCCCGAGUUGUAAUUUGCAGAGGAAGCUUUAGGCGCGGCACCUUCUGAGUCCCCUGGAACGGGGCGCCAUAGAGGGUGAGAGCCCCGUAUAGUUGGAUGCCUAGCCUGUGUAAAGCUCCUUCGACGAGUCGAGUAGUUUGGGAAUGCUGCUCAAAAUGGGAGGUAAAUUUCUUCUAAAGCUAAAUACCGGCCAGAGACCGAUAGCGCACAAGUAGAGUGAUCGAAAGAUGAAAAGCACUUUGAAAAGAGGGUUAAAUAGCACGUGAAAUUGUUGAAAGGGAAGCGCUUGUGACCAGACUUGCGCCGGGCGGAUCAUCCGGUGUUCUCACCGGUGCACUCCGCCCGGCUCAGGCCAGCAUCGGUUCUCGCGGGGGGAUAAAGGUCCUGGGAACGUAGCUCCUCCGGGAGUGUUAUAGCCCGGGGCGUAAUGCCCUCGCGGGGACCGAGGUUCGCGCAUCUGCAAGGAUGCUGGCGUAAUGGUCAUCAGCGACCCGUCUUGAAACACGGACCAAGGAGUCAAGGUUUUGCGCGAGUGUUUGGGUGUAAAACCCGCACGCGUAAUGAAAGUGAACGUAGGUGAGAGCUUCGGCGCAUCAUCGACCGAUCCUGAUGUUUUCGGAUGGAUUUGAGUAGGAGCGUUAAGCCUUGGACCCGAAAGAUGGUGAACUAUGCUUGGAUAGGGUGAAGCCAGAGGAAACUCUGGUGGAGGCUCGCAGCGGUUCUGACGUGCAAAUCGAUCGUCAAAUCUGAGCAUGGGGGCGAAAGCCUAAUCGAACCAUCUAGUAGCUGGUUACCGCCGAA